GCUCGAGGGAUGGUCCGGGGAGUGAGAGUUUUAAGGCAGCCCGCGUCGAGGGCGACCCUUGCCGGAGGUAACAGAAUUAACGUACGUCAGAGCCAGAUUUUAACCCCGGUGUGGGUACUGGCCAAGCCUGCGGACUGCGGUCACGGGGGACUCGAUGCGGUUGCUUAAUAAUUGUGCGAUUUUCGGCCUCUCCCUGCGUCAGUCUCCUGGUUUGUGAAAUGGACUUGAUUCGUAUUUCACGUAGCUGACCAAAGGAUGUAUGAAGCAUUCAGCCCAACGCCUGCCAAAUGAUAAUGCUCUUGGAAACAUACGGAUUUUGGUGCUUCAGCUUCUUCUCUGUUCCUCAGUUUCCCUCGCUGAGAUCAUCAGUGACCUGCUACUUUCUAAAUCUCGUAUUUUCUCAUCUGUAGCCAACCUCAACAGCAACAAAAAGGAGUUCUUUAUGGCGAAGUCCGACCAUCCUAGGCCUCUUGAGAGUUACUCCUUCCUUUUUGGAAUGAAUGCCCUGUGGGCAGGAUGGCUGAAAACCAGAGGAUAGUCCCUGCAGAGUCCUGUGCUUCUGAAGAAACACUCUUAUUAUUAAAGCUGUAUCGAAGCAGGAAUGGAGGUAGAAACAACCCCAUGACAACUUUGGAUUAAAGAUGAAGGCCAUACAAUAUGGAAGUAACCUGGGUCCCUGAAUCCCAUUUGGAAGAGAGCUGCCUGAACUGGAAGGUACUAUGCUGAGUGAACGUCACAGAGGAAGAUGCUGUUACAACAGCUGGUGCUGUUCGCCGUCUUUAGAAGGAGCAAACCUUCCAAGAGCUGUUUUUCUUUACAUCAAGAAGUGCAUUUCUCACUGGUGAGCGAAUAAUCAAUAGAUCAGGACCAGAAGUUUUGUGAUGAUUUCUCCGGGAAGAGACUGCCCAGGGUGCUUGCGGCCUGUUCUGCCUGUCUCCCUGCUGCUCCUGGCUCUCUGCAGAAUUUAGCAGAUUAAUCACUGUGCUCCAGCCCAGACUGUUAUUUUUAGCUCUGUUGACUUCUCAACUGUCUGCAAACAACCAUGCACUAGACAAAGUACCUUGCAGGUGGGCAAGAGAGCCCCGCGAAGGGAAACAGCCCUGCUUUGGGAAGAGGAGUACUCACCCCACCGUGAAGAAUGGCAGGGUAUCUCAGGAGGGAAGCUCACGGAAAGAAGGAAACCCAUCCUGUUGACCGGUGGUUAGUCUUCACGUGGAUCGCUGCCGGGUAUAGUUGGCUUGCGGUAAACAGUUGGGCCAUCAGUGGACGAACAGACAGGUCAUCGCCCUCCCCCGCGCCGUGAAGGUGAUUUUGUGGCAGCUGGACUGCGCCUCACUCAGGUGCCGUAACUCCCGAGUCCAGUGUCACUGCCUUUCCCUUUGGUCGCCCUCGUCCGCCUCCAUGAUCACUGCCCAGCAGCACUGCCUCCCACUCACGUCACUUGCUGUCACUUUGUCUAGGUCAUUUCCUUCAACCUUUCCUCUGGGGAGUCCCCUUAGAGCCUCAGCCUUUUUCUGGGCAUCUCCACUGUGCUCUUUUAAUUAAAAAAAAAUGUUUUUGGCUAGCUUUAUUAAGGUGGAAAUGGCAAACCGAAGUUGUAUAAGUUUAGGUUGUACAGUGUGAUUUUUUUGAAGGUGUACAAUGUGAUGACUUCAUAUAUGUAUACAUUUUUCAGUGGCGAGAACACUUAAGAUCUACUCUUGGCAGAUUUCAAGCAUACAAUAUAGUUUUAUUUACUGUAGUCACCCUGCUGUACCUUAGGUCCCCCCAAUAUAUUCUUCUUAUAACUGAGUUUGUUCUCUUUAGCCAACAUUUCCCCGUAUCUCCCAAGCCCGCGGCAACCGCUGUUCUACUGCCUGGUUCUGUGAGUCCAACUCUUUCGGAUUCUACACGUAAGUGAGACCAUACAGUAUCUGCCUUUGUGUCUGGCUUAUUUCACUUAGCAUAAUGCCCUCCAGGUUCCUCUAUGUUGUGGCAAAUGGCAGGAUUUCCUUCCCUUUCACUCUUCAUCAUAAUAGAAACACCUUCUUUCCCAUCUGGACCUAGCCUCUGAAUGUCAGAGACUGUAACUAGUGUCCAAGGGCAGUGACCCAGAAAAGCCCACAAUAGCAUCCUUGUUACUGCAGAAGCUCCCGUGAGGCCUAGUUCAUCCCUGACACUCAAUGUGACAACUUCCUCGCCUCUAACAAAAUGGAACAGGUAGUCCUGAAUUAAACCCUCUUACCAACUGUGGACGUUUGCUACCAUCUCAUGCUCCGGAAGUUACAGACAUGAUGAGGAAAGUCAAACGUGUCACAGACAGUUGGACAGAAAUGACAGAAAGGUCUUGCCUUCUUGAUGACCUUGCUGAGCUGCUAAAUUGCCCUGAGAUCACUUUCUUUUGGACUUCUUGUAGUUUAAACUGCUGUGGGGCGGGCACUCUGUUACGUACAGAGGAAGAAAUCCUAACAGGGUGUGGGAUUGAGCAAGAAAUUUCUUUAAGGAUGGGAGAUAUUUGUACAUAUAAAGCCCUUUAUUUUUUUUGUUCCAUAAUAAUAAUAAUAAUGUUAUUGCUAUUA